rnacentral:rRNA from 1 species
GACGAACCGUGCGAACGUUGUUCGGAAUCACUGGGCUUAAAGGGCGCGUAGGCGGGCUUGCCGGUCCGGGGUGAAAGCCCCCAGCUCAACUGGGGAAGCGCCUUGGAUACCGCAAGCCUGGAGGGAGGUAGGGGCGUGCGGAACUUCCGGUGGAGCGGUGAAAUGCGUAGAUAUCGGAAGGAACACCGGUGGCGAAAGCGGCGCGCUGGACCUCUUCUGACGCUGAGGCGCGAAAGCCAGGGGAGCAAACGGG